AGAGCGUAAGGGGAAUGCCUUGGCACCAGGAGCCGACGAAGGACGCAGCGAUCUGCGAAAAGCCACGGGGAGCCGAAAGCAGGCUUUGAUCCGUGGAUAUCCGAAUGGGGAAACCCGCAUGGUUAAUAGCCAUGCGACGUAUACUGAAUAAAUAGGUAUGCGUCGGGAACCGUCUGAACUGAAACAUCUAAGUAGGACGAGGAAAAGAAAUCAACCGAGAUUCCGUAAGUAGUGGCGAGCGAACACGGAAGAGGCCAAACCGAAGGUAGCAAUAUCUUCGGGGUACGGACAGUAAACGGCAUUGCGGUAUCUUAGCAGAAGUGCAUGGGACGGCACACCAUAGAGAGUGAUAGUCUCGUAAGCGAAAAGAGAAGGCAGCCAACUGUAUCCAGAGUACCGCCGGACACGUGAAACCCGGUGGGAACAUGGGGGGACCAUCCUCCAAGCCUAAAUACUCCCUGGUGACCGAUAGAGAACAGUACUGUGAAGGAAAGGUGAAAAGAACCCCGGGAGGGGAGUGAAAAGAACCUGAAACCUUGUGCUUACAAGCACACAAAGCACGUCAACGUGUGAUGUGGUACCUUUUGUAGAAUGGUCCGGCGAGUGAAUGUAACUGGCGAGGUUAAGUUCUUAAGGAACGGAGCCGAAGCGAAAGCAAGUCUGAAUAGGGCGUCUUAGUCAGUUGUAUUCGACCCGAAACCGGGUGACCUAUCCAUGUCCAGGAUGAAGUUAAGGUAAAACUUGAUGGAGGUCCGAACCCACGGUCGUUGAAAUGCCCGGGGAUGAGAUGUGGAUAGCGGAGAAAUUCCAAUCGAACCCGGAUAUAGCUGGUUCUCUCCGAAAUAGCUUUAGGGCUAGCCUCGACUGAACAUUACCGGAGGUAGAGCACUGAAUGGGCUAGGGGCCGAGAGGUUACUGAACCCUAUCAAACUUCAAAUGCCGGAAAAUGAUAGUCGGGAGUCAGACUGCGUGAGAUAAGUUUCGUAGUCGAAAGGGAAACAGCCCAGACCCACAGCUAAGGUCCCAAAGUACGGUUAAGUGGAAAAGGAUGUGGAGUUGCACAGACAACCAGGAUGUUGGCUUAGAAGCAGCCACUCAUUAAAAGAGUGCGUAAUAGCUCACUGGUCGAGUGAUUCUGCGCCGAAAAUUUAACGGGGCUAAAUUGUACACCGAAGCUUGGGAUACAUCUAAUGUAUGGUAGGAGAGCGUUGUAUACGGGGUGAAGUCAGAGCGGAAGCGCUGGUGGACUGUAUACAAGUGAGAAUGCCGGAAUGAGUAGCGAGAAUUAUGUGAGAAUCAUAAUGGCCGAAAAUCUAAGGUUUCCUGAGGAAGGUUCGUCCGCUCAGGGUAAGCCGGGAGCUAAGGCGAGGCGGAGACGCGUAGCCGAUGCACAUACGGUUGAAAUUCCGUAGCCACCGAAAGAUUUAAGUACAGGGACGCUUUAGAAGUGAUGUUGCCGGGCGAUGGUUGACCCGGUCGUAAGGGAUCGAAAAUGAGUAGAGAAGUCAUCAUGGAAAGAGACAAGAAAAGCUGUAUGAAUAUCUUAGGUGCCCGUACCGCAAACCGACACAGGUAGAUAGGAAGAAGAUUCUAAGGCCAACGGGAGAAGGGUUGUUAAGGAACUCGGCAAGUUGACCCCGUAACUUAGGGAUAAGGGGUGCUCAAGUGAUUGAGCCGCAGAGAAUAGGCCCAGGCGACUGUUUAGCAAAAACACAGGUCUCUGCUAAAUCGAAAGAUGACGUAUAGGGGCUGACACCUGCCCGGUGCCGGAAGGUUAAGAGGAGAUGUGAGAGCAUUGAAUUGAAGCCCCGGUAAACGGCGGCCGUAACUAUAACGGUCCUAAGGUAGCGAAAUUCCUUGUCAGGUAAGUUCUGACCCGCAUGAAAGGCGUAAUGAUUUGGGCACUGUCUCAACAGCCCGCCCGGCGAAAUUGUAGUACCGGUGAAGAUGCCGGUUACCCGCGACAAGACGGAAAGACCCCAUGGAGCUUUACUGUAGCCUAAUAUUGGGUUUCGAUGUUGCAUGCACAGGAUAGAUGGGACACUGGGAAGCAGGUGCUUUGGCGCUUGUGGAGUGGCCGUUGGGAUACCAUCCUUGCGAUAUUGGAAUUCUAACCUGCGCCUUUGAAUCAAGGCGGGGGACAUUGUUAGGUGGGCAGUUUGACUGGGGCGGUCGCCUCCUAAAGAGUAACGGAGGCGUUCAAAGGUUCGCUCAGCUUGAACGGAAAUCAAGCAAAAGAGUGCAAACGCAGAAGCGAGCCUAACUGCGAGACUGACGGGUCGAGCAGUAACGAAAGUUGGAGUUAGUGAUCCGGUGGUAUGUGAGUGGAAAUGCCAUCGCUCAACGGAUAAAAGUUACCCUGGGGAUAACAGGCUGAUCUCCCCCAAGAGUCCACAUCGACGGGGA
rnacentral:rRNA from 1 species